GACGAACGCUGGCGGCGUGCUUAACACAUGCAAGUCGAACGGAAAGGCCCUGCUUGUGUGGGGUGCUCGAGUGGCGAACGGGUGAGUAACACGUGAGUAACCUGCCCUUGACUUUGGGAUAACUUCAGGAAACUGGGGCUAAUACCGGAUAGGAGCUCCUGCUGCAUGGUGGGGGUUGGAAAGUUUCGGCGGUUGGGGAUGGACUCGGGGCUUAUCAGCUGGUUGGGUGGGUAGUGGCUUACCAAGGCUUUGACGGGUAGCCGGCCUGAGAGGGUGACCGGCGACAUUGGGCCUGCGAUACGGCCCAGACUCCUACGGGAGGCAGCGGGGGGGAAUCUUGCACAAUGGGCGGACGCCUGAUGCAGAAACGCCGCGUGCGUGAUGCCGGCCUUCGGGUUGUAAACCGCUUUCGCCUGUGACGAAGCGUGAGUGACGGUAAUGGGUAAAGAAGCACCGGCUAACUACGUG
rnacentral:rRNA from 1 species